rnacentral:rRNA from 1 species
GACGAACGCUGGCGGCGUGCUUAACACAUGCAAGUCGAACGGAAAGGCACUGCUUUUGUGGGGUGCUCGAGUGGCGAACGGGUGAGUAACACGUGAGUAACCUGCCCGUUACUUUGGGAUAACUUCAGGAAACUUGGGCUAAUACCGCAUAACAGCACCUACUGCAUGGUGACGGUUGGAAAGUUUCGGCGGCUGCGGUAGGACUCGCGGCUGCGCAGCAUGAUGGUGGGGUAGUGGCGUACCAAGGCGUUGACGAGUAGCCGGACUGAGAGGGUGACAGGCCACAGUGUGACUGGGGUAGCGGCAGGACGGCUACGGGAGGCAUCGGUGGGAGAUAGUGCGAGAUGGGCGGAGGGAGUAUGCAGCAACGCCGGGUGGUGGAUGACGGUCGUCAGGGUAGAAACAGCGUGAGCCUGUGAAGAAGAGUGAGUGACGGUAACGGGUAAGGAAGCACCGGCUAACUACGUG